AUUGAACGCUGGCGGCAGGCCUAACACAUGCAAGUCGAGCGGUAGAGAGGAGCUUGCUUCUCUUGAGAGCGGCGGACGGGUGAGUAAUGCCUAGGAGUCUGCCUGGUAGUGGGGGAUAACGUUCGGAAACGGACGCUAAUACCGCAUACGUCCUACGGGAGAAAGUGGGGGAUCUUCGGACCCCACGCUAUCAGAUGAGCCUAGGUCGGAUUAGCUAGUUGGUGAGGUAAAGGCUCACCAAGGCGACGAUCCGUAACUGGUCUGAGAGGAUGAUCAGUCACACUGGAACUGAGACACGGUCCAGACUCCUACGGGAGGCAGCAGUGGGGAAUAUUGGACAAUGGGCGCAAGCCUGAUCCAGCCAUGCCGCGUGUGUGAAGAAGGUCUUCGGAUUGUAAAGCACUUUAAGUUGGGAGGAAGGUCAGUAGCUUAAUACGUUGCUGAUUUGACGUUACCGACAGAAUAAGCACCGGCUAACUCUGUGCCAGCCGCCGCAGUAAGAC
rnacentral:rRNA from 1 species